rnacentral:lncRNA from 9 species
ACCCAAGAGGCCAUAUUGCACAGUGACUGAGAACUUUUGUCCUAGAAAACAGGGUAACUGCAUGACCCAACCAGGAGGGGAGAGGAGCAGGGAGAGUUAGAGAGGAGUGUUGUGCUUUUAAAAAGAAGGCAGUAAUCAAGGAUGUGGAGUUCCCUGUAACUUUUGAGCCACCUCUCCAAGGGAUAAUGGUAGCAUCGCCAGGACUUUCACGUAGUUCCAAAAAAAAAAAAAAAAAAAAAAUUACCACAUAUACACAUAGAGCAGCACAUAGCAAGGCAAAGAUUUCGUGCAGAGUACCCUUCUGUCCCAACUCCAAUAACCUGCAACCCCUGCCUCACUCCCCUGAACCCCCAAACAAAAAGCUUUAUAUUCUUGGUGGGUAGCAACAUCCAUAGGCCCCUGAGAAUAGAAUUAGAAAUAAGUCAUGAUUUUAAGAAAAACUGUUCAGGACAGAAGGAAUCAAGAGAGGCUUUUUCACUCUCUGCCUAGGAUCUCAUUAGAAAAAUAAAAGAGAAAGAUUAGGCAAUAUAGCAUAAUUUAAGUCCAGGUUUGAAUGCCCCUGAGUAAGAGAGGGGCUGGGGAUGCAGGUGUCCUGGUUAGAAGAGGGAGAGGUUAGAACUCAGCCUCUCUUCUCCAUCCAGGACAGAUCCUGACCUCUCUCAUUCACAGUUGCUAACCUUGCUUGCUCCUUCUCACAACUUCCUGGGGUGCUAGCCAAGCCUCUCCCCCAUCACCUUGACCAGACCCGCCCCCUGAACUUUCCCCCCUCCCAUAGGCAGACACUGGCUCCCAGACUCAAGCGCACAACGAUUCUCUCCAAAGGCACCUGGGGAGGCCACUUCCAAGCAGCUCCCUUUAAGGAUUUUUUUCUUAAAAAAAAUCUUUUGGUUUUUUUUUUUUUCUCCUCUUUUCUUAAAAAAAAAAAUAAUAUAUAUAUAAAUAGCUCUUCAUUUAAAAUACAGUUCCCCAGGUUGAGGUAUGCAAUGGCCUGUUGUCACGGCAGGCAGAAUGAGUACAGUAGAGUGCCAGGUGGGGGCCACAGGGGAUCUAACUGGAGACCGCCAUGACGUAGUUCUUCGAGGGGCUGCUCCUGCCCAGCAUCAUUUGGUUCUUGCAGGUGAGGAGCCCAUAGGAGGUGGCCACCGGGGCCUCCUCGUACAGGACACAGAUGGAGCCAUCCUCCCCGAUGCGAUAGGACACUUCAUAGGGGUCCACCCACAGGGUCAGCUCGCUGGGCAGCAGCUGGUGCAGCUGGGGCUGACUGAGUCCAAUCUGGCUAGCCACUUUACUGAUGAUGGGGUCCAUUUUGUGGUUGAUGCGAAUGCAGCGGUAGCCAGAGCCCUUGGAUGGCUUUUCAGGAAACCAGUGGUGUUUGUAUGCCUCCUGGAGAGCCCCGCUGAAAACCUUGAGUCGCUGCUCGCUCACGCAGCCCCGGGUCCUGAG